rfam:Gossypium raimondii chromosome 1, whole genome shotgun sequence.
AUCCCGUGGUGAUGGCAAUUAUGAAGUAAUUCCUUAAAUCUUUCCCAUGCCUCGUAUAAGGAUUCAUCAUCCAUUUGUUGAAAAGUAGUGCUCUCAUUCUGCAACU